UCCCAUUAGUCGCCUCUUAAGACAAGCAUUGGUUACUGAAGAUCAAUUCUAACCCAGAUCUUCACAGGUCAUGUUCUGUGAAUAUGCAUGAAUUUCACACAAAAAUUAGACCACGGUUAUAACUUUAUUGGUUGAUAUUUCUUUCUUCCAUUUUGUCAAUGUGUUUACCAGCAUUCGGUCCAGACUUGGGGUUGAAGAAUGUCUCUGGGUAAGUCUAUGUAUAGCCCUGAUUUAAGUAGACGAUUUGGAUUAUAAUGUUAAAAUCUGAUAUCGAUUUAUGCACAUGCAUUAAAAUGUUUAUCCUUUUGUUGGUAACUACCCAGAUAAAUAUUGGCACUACAAGAUGGGUUAUUUAUAACCAGAUUGAUGUUGUUGUUGCCAUAGUGUCAGUCAAACUGAUUCUGUUUGAUCAACAGAGCAUUUUUAGAAGCAUUUAUUUCACCUGUUUUAUUUUAGUCCAUUAUUCAACAGUUUCAUUGUUUUAAUGUUUGUCUUUGUAUGGUUUUAGAUAUUCAUGAUACAGACAAACUUAAUGGUAGGAGUGAAACGGUAUGCCACGGUAUUAGUAGAACCGCGGUAUUUUGUCUUCGGUUCAGUAUGGAAAAUUGGUAUUUUCUGAUUUUGUACCAUCAUUUCUAUCUGGUCAUAAAAUGACAGUUUUGUUCAUUCAAAAUAACAAAGAUAAUGGUUAUUUGUUUUCCAGGUUACUAAACAAUGUAAGGUUUGGCUCUUGUCAAUUUUCUGCAUUAUGAUCAUAUCUCAUAUACCGAACAGAAACGGACCGAACCGGAGGCCUUGUACCGCAAUACGUACCAUACCAUUGUAAGAGCGUAGCGUUUCACCCCUACUUAAUGGUUGAACAACUUCUUUACUCAGGUGAUACAGAUUCUUGUAUCGUCAAGCAGGUAAGAAUCAGGUAGAAAAAUAUUAGGUGAUAGAGAUUCUUGAAUCGUUGUCAAGCAGGUAUGAAUCAGAUAGAAACACAUGUACAGUUUAGAAUUACCAGAAACAACAAGAAGAUGAUUGAGAAGUACAGUGACAAUAUGAUAACAAAGGAUUCAAUCCAGAAUCCAGUGGGCUGUACAGAGCAGGAGAAGUUGAACAUUUUACACAAGCAGUUAGGGUUGACUGAUGAGUUCAUCGUAUGCAGAGGGGAUGAAAUAACCGUGAUCUCGAUCAUAUCACUUAUCAUCAUAUUGUUACUGUACUUCUCAAUCAUUACCUCCUUGACAAUGAUACAAGAAUCUGCAUCGAAAUCUACAUACCUGAAUAAAGACGUUUUUGAUCCAUAAAGUAUGUCCAUAUCUGACUCUCCAACUUCUAAAAAAUGCCACUUUAAGAAGUUUGUACAUGCAUAAGCAAUGUCUUUCAUAUCCUACUGCGCCGACCAAUCGAGACAGGCUGUGACUUUUUGUCUCAGAUGGUGAACUUUCAAAACUAUCACUUCCUAUAGUCUGGCAUUUUUUCAGAUUUAUUUAAUGAAAUAUAGGAUUUAAGCUGAAUGAUAGGAAUUUAUAAAUAAUUAUUCUCAUAUGUAGUUAUUUUUCUGUAACAUUCAGUCCACACAGAAAAUGUUUUAAUUACAUGACUGACAAUCUAUUUGACAAGCCAGCUGGCCAGAAUAUAUAUGUGAAUUUUAUACACUGGUAUAUAUGUAUAAAUAUCCUCAUCUAUAGGUUUUUUGUCUCUUAGCUUCUGUCCAGAAGAAAACCUAUCAAUAAUACUUGAAAUUUAUUAGAUCAGCUAGUCUGGAUGGAAUGUAUGUGAGUUUAUAUACACUUUAUAGCAACUGGUAUAUAUUAUGUAGAAACAGGUAGUGUUUAAGAGUUUUUUGGUUUAUCCCUUUUGAGUUUUCCAUGGUUCUACAGUAAACUGUGAUUAUCAUGAACUCAAAGUGAUCUCUAAUUUUAGUUUGUUAUAUAUGUAGUUCAUUAUAUUAACUUUGACUAAAAUAGACAGCAAGCGGACAGGACCAAAUAUUGUUUUGUUAUAUCGGUCAGUUCUUUUUAAGUGUGUUAGAUAUAAACAUAGUUUACUGUAAUAUUCAUGAUGGUACAGCAAAUAUUAAAAUAAAAUCAUUGAGGUGAGCUACAGAGCUAUGAUGGAGUUGUUUUGUGCUACAGGACAAAUUUGUAUAACACACUGUACCGGUGUCCAGUUGACCUUCCAACGUUAAUUAUGUUGUUUAUUUAAAAAAAUCAACAAGAAAACAGCCGGUAUAGUGGAAAAAUUAUCAGGGCAAGUGAUUUUACAUGUGCCACUGUACUGGAGUACACUAGCAAUUUUAAAGUUAUUUCCACCCCUGGUUUUACUUGAACUUGGUGUUAUUUGUGAAAGCGAGAUAUGUACCAUAGCAUAUAUCUAUGUCAGGAAGGAUAAUAGUCCACAGUCUUCUAUAUAUAGUUUGGUCAUUGACCACAUCACUAUCAUUGUCAUGGUAACCUCUCACUGUCAACAACAUCAAAAGAAAUGCAUUUGCAAAUUUCCCAUCUUUAAAGGAUGACUAGUAUGUCAGGAACAUAAAUUUCCUGGAGUGUUUAAGAUAAAUUCAAUCAUGACUUGGAAGGAGCUUGUAGUGCUUAUGAAAUGUAACAGACAAAACCAACCUUGUGAAAAUAUUAUUUAUACAAUUAAUCGUAGCACCACUACUAGGAUAUAAAGGUAAUAUUUACAGUAGCCAGUAGCUGCUGACAACAUGAUACUUGAGUGUUUCAAGGGCAUUGGUCUCGCCCCACCCUGAGCUGAAGCACAUUUGGGGUCUUAUUAUCAGAGUGACUGUUGGUAAUAUGCAUCUAUUCACCCAGCAGUGAAUGGGUAUCCAGUGGGACGAAAUGGAAAAUGUGACUUUUAACCUUCUAGUGCCUCACAGGUAACCUGGCUUAUUUGGAGUGUAAUAUACAACUGCAAACUGAUCCAUUGAAUCUGAAUUUUGUGAGCUUUGAGCAAAAUAUCCAGCAGGGAAAUGUACCAUACAAAUUAUUGUCAUUUUUGUUAUUAUUAUUUAUUGUUAUUCAUAUCAGUGCAAAUAAACUGCUAUAUUCUUAUAUAAGGA